AAAGCUACAAUGCACAUUGCAUGAAUAUCAUCAGAGAGAAUACAUCGUACCUAGUUGCCUUUAGCAGUGGGCCUGAAUAAUCAAUAUGCAGAAGUCUGUACUAUUUGUUCUUUGCAUCAUCGCUAUGUCAGUGAUGGUGGAAGCAAAACCAUCACCUUGUGGAAAUUGGUGGUGCAAUGGUGGUGGUACCUCCAAUAAUGUUGGCAACGGGGCAUUUAACCAGAACAUGGUACGUAUGCGGCCGGGCUGUGGCAAUGGCAACUGCGGAGGAUACAAAGAAAAUAAUGUUGGAAACGGUCACCACAAUUACAACGUAGUUUAUGGACUUUUAACUCGAUAAAUAUAUGCCUUCAGUAUGUUUAUGAUCAUUGUCUCCUGGUACAUACUACAUUUAAUUUAAGAUCCUAUUUGUUAUGGAACUAUAUGUCAAAGUCAAAAGUCCUAAUUCUAUAAAGCACUUUUGAAACUCAAUGUUAUGUUAUGCUAAGAUACUUUAAUUUCAACUUCACUUUACAAUAUAAAAUAGGGUUCUAAACGCGCCUGGAUCAGACAAGAGCCGACAAAAAACAGUCAGGGUUUUUUUGUUUAUUACCAUUCUACAAUAUUUUCUUGAAUUUCCAAAUUGUUUAUCAUUUAUUACACUAUAUAAAGACUUUCUAUAAGCUAACGUUUUAAAGUUUUGUAUUAUUUUUUAUUAAUUAAUAAAUUGUUAU